GAGCUCUAGUACGUACGCACUUUCUGUCCCAUCCCCCAGAGGCCUCAACCAAUCAAUGGCAAGCAGACAUGCCCACUUGUCAAUGGCUGACAUAAUGGAGAGGAUUUACGCACCAAUACGACAGUGAUGCAUUGCGGUGAAGACCGGGAGAUUGAGCGGCCAGCGGAGGAAGAGAAGACUGGAGAAAAGCUGCAUGAAAAAUUGCGCUUGAUAUGCAUGGAGAAAUACAACUCUGUUAAACGGCACGCCUGGCUCAUGUGACGUGAUACACGUGGAACGGUAAGCGGCCGGGAGCAGAGCAGGAGAGAGGAUUGGGAGUGACGGCAACAUCACGACAUGCCGAAAAACAUUUGGAAAAAUCUUGUUAAAAGCAUUAAAACUUUGGUUAAACCU